rnacentral:lncRNA from 1 species
GGGCGGCCGGCGCGUGGUCCAGGGCCCCGUUGGGGCAGCUGGCGGCAGGCAGGGCGCCGGGCUUGCUCGCAGCGCUCUCGGCGAGGACGAGCGAGGAUGGCGGCGGCAUCAUGACCAGGCAGAGUGGUAGAUUUGGGAAGCUGCUUGUCUGCAUUGGGGGAAUUUUCCUCUGAGAGGCCAUCCUUGUCACUUCAGUGGGAUCCAAUUUCAGUGGGUGAGGAGCACGACAACAGGC